rnacentral:rRNA from 1 species
GAUGAACGCUGGCGGCGUGCCUAAUACAUGCAAGUCGAGCGAACGGACGAGAAGCUUGCUUCUCUGAUGUUAGCGGCGGACGGGUGAGUAACACGUGGAUAACCUACCUAUAAGACUGGGAUAACUUCGGGAAACCGGAGCUAAUACCGGAUAAUAUUUUGAACCGCAUGGUUCAAAAGUGAAAGACGGUCUUGCCGUCACUUAUAGAUGGAUCCGCGCUGCAUUAGCUAGUUGGUAAGGUAACGGCUUACCAAGGCAACGAUGCAUAGCCGACCUGAGAGGGUGAUCGGCCACACUGGAACUGAGACACGGUCCAGACUCCUACGGGAGGCAGCAGUAGGGAAUCUUCCGCAAUGGGCGAAAGCCUGACGGAGCAACGCCGCGUGAGUGAUGAAGGUCUUCGGAUCGUAAAACUCUGUUAUUAGGGAAGAACAUAUGUGUAAGAAACUGUGCACAUCUUGACGGUACCUAAUCAGAAAGCCACGGCUAACUACGUG